rnacentral:ncRNA from 1 species
GCUGUAGAGGAGGGGAACUGACUCAUGGCAUAUCUAUUGCAUCAUGGGUCAGUGAGUCAUGGGAAUGCAGUAGCUUAAGCUGGUAGGUGUAGGUUUUACCAUGAUGUUAGGUCUCAUUGGUCUCUACCCAACCUAAACCCAAUUGAUCUAGCCAUUCAUAGGUUAAACAGGGCGGGGAGGGGGGGGCGGGGGGGGGCAUAUAGCCCUUGUUGGAGGACUGCACCCCAACAUGUUGUAGAAUGUGGGGAGGACAGAUGGCUCAGGGUGAAAGGCUAACUAAGAUUGGAGAUAGCUAGUUUUCCGCAAAAUAUAUUUUUGUAGAGUGUCUCGAGAAGUGGGCUGGGGGUAGAGAACCAGGUGGGGGCUGGCACCUCGCACAACCAUGCCCACCUGGCAAAAUUGAAGACGGGCAUUAUAUGCUCUCUGUGCAGAUAGAGUCUAGGUGUGAAGAUCCAGGCUAGAGAGGGGAAGAGCCCAUAUCAUUCACUAAGGUCUUGAAGUGAUCAUUGCGUGGGGGCACACGAGAGUGAAGGGUGGUAUUUGGCAAUGAAGCCAAAUACCACUCUAGGAGGUGGGCUUGGAAGCAACUAUCAUGUAAGAGAAUGCAUACUAGUUCAUUGGGAAAGUGGAUUUGACCAAUCAUGAUUGGGGCAGAAGUGGCUCACCAACAUGAUGAGACCCACAAUCAGUAACACUCCCCACCACUUUGCCGGACGAAGGGGCAUGGCCCCAUGAGUGUUAGUAGCGAAACGUUUUGUUUUUGAUGUGCUGCUCCCAAAUGGCUGGUGUGCUAGGAACACAGAAGUGAAAAUGCUGAC